UCCGGCUUAACGCCGGCAGUCUCCCUAGAGUGCCCAACUGAAUGGUGGCAACUAAGGACGAGGGUUGCGCUCGUUGCGGGACUUAACCCAACAUCUCACGACACGAGCUGACGACAGCCAUGCAGCACCUGUGCAUGCUCCCCUUGCGGGGUCGUCCCACUUUCAUGGUUCUACCACAUGCAUGUCAAGGCCAGGUAAGGUUCUUCGCGUUGCAUCGAAUUGAACCACAUGCUCCGCUGCUUGUGCGGGUCCCCGUCAAUUCCUUUGAGUUUUAGCCUUGCGGCCGUACUCCCCAGGCGGGGUGCUUAAUGCGUUAGCUGCGGCACGGAAGUCUUGCGACCCCCACACCUAGCACCCACCGUUUACGGCUAGGACUAC
rnacentral:misc_RNA from 1 species